CGUCCUCCUCUCUGGUUUUGCUGAUUCCGACGGCGUCGGCUAGACCUACAGGAUAUCUGUGGCAUUUGUUCUUAUUAGGGUGUCAAUGCUGGCGAUGAAAAGAUUAUUAAUGCUCUUAUUUGGGUGUCAAUGCUGGAAGCUGCUCAUGAGAAAUGUAACUUGAAGGUAUAAUAUAUCUAUUCAAUGUCGAGCCUCUGUCCCCCUCUUCCAAAAGUUUGCUUGAUCGCGCCCGCGCCAUGGCCGCCGAGCUCCUUUUUGCUCCACCCGCCAACCAGAUCGGCCGAUGAGGCGGAUUGCCUCGAGGAGGUGGACCAUGGAGGCAAGGAGGUCAUCCAUGGUGUGUGCAUCCCCGACAUUCGCUCAUAUUUUCCUCCUCCGCUUCACGGACGCCGGGGACUCGGGCAUGGCCGCCGCCACACCCCCGCUCCCGCUGACCUUGAACUGGCGGUUCUGUUUCAGUUUUGCGUUGUCUGAUUUUGGUUCCGACGAUUCUUGACUAACCUGAAUUCACUUCUUCCAGGGGGUGACAGUCAGCUGCGUGACAUGAAUUUUGACACUGUAUGAGAGUCAUCCUUUGCAACAACUGAUAGCUAUAUUCUUGAUACUAAUCUAUUACUAUAUAAACAACAUGAAU